GUAGGGAAUAUUGGGCAAUGGGCGAGAGCCUGACCCAGCCAUGCCGCGUGCAGGAUGACGGCCUUCUGGGUUGUAAACUGCUUUUAUAUGGGAAGAAAACCACCUUGCGAGGUGAAUUGACGGUACUAUAUGAAUAAGCACCGGCUAACUCCGUGCCAGCAGCCGCGGUAAUACGGAGGGUGCGAGCGUUGUCCGGAUUUAUUGGGUUUAAAGGGUGCGUAGGCGGUUUUUUAAGUCAGUGGUGAAAGUCUGUCGCUCAACGAUAGAAGUGCCAUUGAUACUGGAAGACUUGAGUACACUAAAGGUAGGCGGAAUUUAUGAUGUAGCGGUGAAAUGCAUAGAUAUCAUAAAGAACUCCGAUAGCGAAGGCAGCUUACUUGAGUGUAACUGACGCUGAUGCACGAAAGCGUGGGUAGCGAACAGG
rnacentral:rRNA from 1 species